CCUUAUUUGAGGAUUCUCCAUAUCAGUGACAAAAUGGAUGUUUGAAAAUAUUUUGAUAACCUAAAGUUUAAGAUUAUCUAUGCUGGCUAAGACCUAGCACUUCUGUUGAACAAAGAGGAGUUUCAUCAUUCCUUUGUUUUUCCCAAGGAAAUAAAUGUAAUGGAAAUUUAGGGCUUCCUUUAAUCAUUGAAUAAACUGAUGUUGUCAAGCUAGUUAUAGGGCAAAAUUCCAAUAUACCCACAGGAUUGUAUUCUUCAAAGGACUAUGUACAAAAACAUUUUUAUAUGUGAAAUGCUUCUCUUUUGAUGUAGAGGUAUUCUCAUUGGAGGCUUUACAAAUUUUAAUUUAAUGAUUCUUCUCUACUAAGGAAUAGAAAGGAAGAUAGAAGAAAUAUAGUCACCAGACUUUUUCUCAAGACUUUAUCAUUGGUUUUUCUGAAGAGAACAUAGUUCUACUCCAGUUUAAUCUUUCCAAACCAUUUAAGACAAAUUGUUUCAGACAUUAAUACAUUAUCCUAAGCAUGUCAUACAAAAAAUUGUUAGAAAAUGCCCUCUCAUUAUUUUAAAAAUGCUAAAUUGUCUUAGGGCUGUGGAAUGUUACUAGAAUUACUACCAAGUAGGCAGAUCUAAUAGUUUAAACAUCUCUCUAACCUUGAAAAUGUCAUAAUUUUUUUUUUGUAUAAUUGAGCACUGGGUCACAAAUCUUCAUCUUGGAAUUCUAUCUUAUCUGUUGUUACCAUAAGCUAAUGGUGAGCUGAUUUCCUCACUGGGGGUGAAAAUGAGAACAUUUCCCACAACAUGGUACAGAAUCAUUAGGGCCGUUACAUUCUCGAAUGGGCCAGUGGGGUGGCCUUUCUCAUGAACAUGUUUCUCCCCACGUAAACUUUCCACUUAGCCACUUCAUACCCUGCCACCAACUCUUUCUGUGCAAAUAAAUUCUAGUCUAACAUGGUUAGGUAAUUUUUGAGCAAGUAGAUGAAAAAAUCCUACUCUUAUGGCAACUAUGUUUCACAGAUUUCUGAGAUCUCAGAUUUGGUCUGUGGAUAAGAGAAACACUUAGAAAUGUAAAAAGAAAUCCAAAUGUAGAAAAACUUAAAAAAGCAAUAAUAAGAAAUAGAAUGAGUUAGUUAUCAAAGGUGAUAAAAUCUUGGCUUUAUAUUAACCGAUAAUCUCUAUGUAUAUUACAUUCAUCAUGUAAAAAAGUAAAAAAGUACUAAAGCUGAACUUUCAUGCUUUACAAUGAUUAAACUGAAAUUGGAGCUUUUUUGUUCUCUCCAGUUAUCUAAAACAAAGAUGUUAGUAAAAAGUCAUUUGACUGUUGGCACUGAAUUAGUAUGAUUUUGAAGACCUUUAGGAAACUGUUCAAAGAAGAUAUGACAAAAACUGAAACAAAUUUUCUAAAUAUUCCUCCGAGUAAAAGAAAAAAGUAUCCGAAAAGAACGGAGAACCCUAUCUUCGUUUCUCUCGAGAACGUGUAGGAAAGGCUGGCGAUGGGUGGACCGGACGGAGGAAAAGAUGCCACGGGACUGUGGCAGAGGCGUCCGGGAGCCCCUGGACUUUCAGGAGGGCGUGAGGCAGAGCUUCCUGGGGACGCGCGUCUUCAGUAAUCGAGCUUUGAUGGCACGUGCAUACCCUCUGUCCUCAGGCCGGCAUGGCCAUCCCAAAGACUUCUGGUCCCAAAAGAGCCGCAGCCUCUGUCACUUCCAAAAGCACCCAGAUGAACGCUCGCUGGGAUCCAGUUUAUUAAACAAGAAAGUCUGCUAUUCUGGGUGUUCGCCUCUGUAAACCGCUUUCCUACGUGGUCACAUGAGAGACGGUGCGGCAUGCCUAGCCAUUCUUCUUCUCGCGGCUUCACUGGCAAGGGCAGCCCAAGGAAAACUGGCAGCAGCCAUCGGCUCAGCCCCUUGGCAUUUCACCCAAGGCCAUAACACCAGAAGCUGUAGAUCUGCAACGCCCUCAAAAUAUCAGACCAACCGUGUGUGUGCUCUCCGCCAACUUAUCUCUUUUUGGCAAUAAGCCAUGGUGUAACCCCCUUGAGACGACAAAAGGAAUAAGCUCAGAUGAGCCUGCAGGGGGUGGUCAGGCAGCAUGCAACCAUCUGGGUUUGCACAGCAAGCAGGUUGGGCGCACACGCAUGCUUUCUUUAGUCAGAUUCAGUGGUGCCAAUGCUAGGAGGGAAGGUGAGUGGAGGUGACAACAGACAAAUCAGUCGGAAUAGUACACAUUCGUAGCCUUGAGUCCAUAUUUGGUCACAAUUUCAUGUAAGCGAUUUCAUGGAGCUUUUAGCCCAUGCAAUGCUCAAAGUAAGAAAAUAGCAAGAACAUUCACUGUCUAUCACUGAAGUCCGUAUAAAUACAUAUCCUCAUGUAAGGGACACUGGUCUAUAUUCUUUGCAGGCUUCUCACUGGUUCCCUAAAUUGCCCAAUUUCGGAUGCAAGUGGAGAAAUGAUGCGUGUGUACUAUAGCACACAGGAAGAAGCAGCUCUAUGUAAACAUAGCUCAGACUUGUAAAAUCUGCAGUUCGGUUUUCAACUAUAAAUAUAGAAAGUGGACCAUAAUAUAUACAACUUCAUGCUUGGAAAGUUAAUUCAUCACUGCAGAAAACAGACAACAAAAAAGACAAAUAUACAGAAUUAGUAUGUAGUGUUGGACAAUUCCAAAUUAACAUGAAUUUUGAGAAAGUUGGUAGAACCUUCAAUAGAGGCUUUUAUCAAUGAAGUAAUGGAGCACUUGCUGUAUGCAUCAUAUCUUACUUUUUAUUGAGAUGAGGGCUUUGCUCAGUUGCCCGGGCUGGCCUCAGCCUCCUAGGUAGCUGGUGUGUACUACCUACCCCCAGCUCCAUAUCUUACUUUUCUGAAUUCCUGGAUGUCAUGACAAUUUUUAUCCUAAGUUUAGCUGAUUCUUUCUUUGCCACUAAGAAUUUUGUAAUAAGUGCUUGCUUCAGUAACUUUGCUGGGAAAGCAGAAAAUUAGGAUUUUUAUCACAUAUAGAAUGAUACGUUUUAUGGAAAACUGAGUAUAUAGAAGAGAGACUUCUGACUUCCUAACAUAGUCAGUAUCGCAGUGAGGCUUGCUGUCUCACCUGCUGCUGGCUCCACUGUCAAGCUCUUUCAAAGAGGAGGAGGCGGAAACCACAGCGCGCCUACACUCUGAGCACCGCCCAGAGGCCAGGUGGAGCCAGCCUUUCCCAUCUCCCUGCAGGGAGGGUGCCGAUCAUGAGGCUGAAAGCACUGUCCUAUCAGAUGCCAAGUCAGAGGGCAGGUGGUGGUCAGGGCGCUGGGUGAUAUUAUAGGUCCUGUGUCACCCCUCAGGGGUGAGAGGGUGGUUUUCCAGGUGAAGAAGGCUAUGCGAGAGGGCCACAUCCCGAGGGCCACUUGACCUCAGACAUGAUCCAGCUAAUGUCUGCCAGGCUGAAAGUGGAGUGUGGGAAGCCACUAAAUAAGUGAUGCUGUGGGGAGAGCGGGUUUUGCUGCCCUGGGCCAAGUAGGGGAAACUAGUUAAGCAGGAGAAUUGGACAGAUUUCCUCACAGGUGGAGUAGCUGGCCUCCAGGGCAACCAAGAGUCUCUUGUUUCUGACACCCUCGUUUGUCACAGUUUUGCCAGUGAAGCACGCCUGUCCAGGAUUACUGAGGGAGCGCUAAGAUGCUGGAGAAGAAUAAUUCCAGUGACCAAAGAGCGUGUCCAUGUCCUCUAGCUCCGUGCCCUCAGUGGGCUUGCUGUCCUUUGGGACGAUGUGCCCAGCAUGGGAUCAGGCUCGUGCCAUCCGCAGAAGACUUGGUGUCCUGGAGCACAGGACACAUGCAAGUCUCUUCUCUGCUUCCCGUUCUGUCGUUGUCCUCCACUGCCCCCCACUGUGCCUCUGAGGUCCGAGACAUACUUGCCCUGGCUCUCGGAAGCUCCUCUGCCUCCUUGAAUUGCUACUUCCUGCCCAGGUUGGAUGACAUGCUAGAUGACCGCUGUAUGAAGGAGCUUACCACACAGCCUUUGCACAAGGAGGGUUUCCAUACAGGACAUGUCCUAUCCUCACUGCGUGCGUACAGUGACUAUGGGCGGCCACACGAAGAGGUCAAAAUGAGCCAAUGUCAUAAAAGAUGUGGAUUUAGUCAGCUUCUCCUAGAUCAGUCAGGACCACUGAAAAAUUUAUAUUUUCUGCUUUCUCAGCUUUUUGGCUCUAUUGACAGAGUUAUACCAUGUAUAAGUAUGUUUGUCAAACCAAUUGAAUAUGAAUAGAAAAAGAAUCACAAUUAAUUGUUUUAAACAGUAGGAAGACAAAGGGCUGACUGAGAGACAAGCAAACCAUUAGCAAGAUGUGCUGCCCUUUUCCAUUGCACACAAAGGGUCAGACAGGUGGAGAAGUACAGUGCUUGCUAAGCGCCGUUUUACUCAUCAGUUUGGGAAGAAAUCGACCGUCAAUAUAUGCAUCAGAAGAUAUCCUAGGGCUGGAACCUUUUGUUUUUUAGUACUGGAGCAGCUUUCAGGAAUGUCAAUUGCAAAAGGUCUGUUGUGAAUGGAAAAGGCCAGGGCAGGAGGAAGAGAGAGGGGCUUUUUUUUAGAAAUUAGUCCAUACCCUACCUUCUGCCAGCAGCCGGGCAUGGGUAAUCCAUCCGGACCCUGUUUCAAAGAGAGAAAAGAGAUUCCUCAGACUCCCUCAGGAGUGACACACUUCACAGCUCACAGCUCACAGGUUUAAGACAUGGAUUUUACUUGUAGGGCGGGUUUGGUCAUAGCUAUCUUUUACCUAAUCAGCAACUCCUAAUAUAUUGCCCAGUGUUAGGUAAAUGAAAAUAAUUCAAAUGUUUUCCAAAGUGAGUAUACACUUUUGAACAUACCUAAAGCACAGAAAAAUCUACAUGUAAUUUUGAAAAAGCCAUUUAUAAAGCAUAGCAAUCUAGUGGUCUGUUCAUAGCUAGAUCUUUAGAAAUCUGUACUGUCUCUUAAUUUCAUUAAAACAUAUUUCACAAUUAUCUUAUUAAAUAAACCAAAAUAACUUUUAUUCGUAGUCACGAAGGAGUGUGACUGAAUUCAUGGUAAUGAUCCUGAAUGAUAAACCAUUUCUAUCUGAAGUGUAUAGCUCUUCACAACCAAUAUUUUUAAUUUUCCUACAUUGAAAGUAGAUAUUGCAAAUAUACUUAGCUGAAAGACAGGCAGCCUAUUUUUACAGGACAGUGUUGGCCACAAAUUCAUCAAUUUUUAAAUUUAAGGUCUUCAGAAGUCAGCUAACAUUCUGAACAAAACAGAGUUGCUAAGUGAUACAAAAUUUUAAUUUAAUAUAAGCAGUCUUCAGAUACAAAUGAUACAAAUGAGAGGAAAAGUUGAUAUAUUAUGAAGGCAUGCUUGUAUUUCCCCCCAGUAGGGUGGUUAUAAAAUGAUUUUUCACCAAUAUGGAGCAAACAAAGUAAGACUGGGACUUCCUAUUGACAUUUUCUAACUACUGCCAGAAUAACAUUUUUUUCUAAAUACAAUCUCUUGAUAGGUUUGAGAAAUAUAGAUUGACCUUUAAAGAAUCAUGCUUGUAAUUGAAGAGCCAUAUAAGAACAUGCAGAUCAAAUAUAACAUAACCAUACAAAAUUGUUUUAUACUUUAGAAACUAAGAAUAUACUUUUUUUUAAAUGUAAAAGACUCUGAAAUAGCCUUAUGUAUUUGGGAAAAAUUGGUAAUGCCAGAUUGGUACAAGGAGAAGGAUCAACCAGUAGAAUUUUAGAUUUUAGUAUGUAUGAGGAGGGAUUUCGAGGUUCAUGCCAGUGGAGAUAAGGGGUGGUGUGUACUUAGGGAAAGUGAGUUUCAGAAGGGGACCAUCAAAUUGAAAAGGUUACGUGAUGAAGAAGAGGGUUUGGGCUGCAGACGAUUAUCUGUGCACUUCAGGGAAGUUUGGUUUCCUUCUCUGUGGUCUCUUCAUGGCAUUCCCUUGAGCUGGUUAACUACUGAUGACAGAAGCUUAAUUCUGUAGGUUUGGCCUUAUUUACUGCCCCAUCAAAGUUUAGUGGAAAAAAAUAUGGGUAUUCCUCUUAGAGAAAAAGAAAAAAAACAACUUGGGGAUAAAUGCAAAAGUUAUGGGCUGCUGGUGCCUUUGCAACAGAUUUUUGUGUACAUUCAAUGUCAUCAUUAAGUGUUUAGUAAACCUAUUAAUAUUCCCAAGAGCACGGAUGCAUUAGUCAUGUCAGUGGUGAGGACAACAUCGGCACGAGUUCUUGUUCACAGACGGUGCGAGCCUGAGCCCGCUCAUGCACAUGCAUGUCGUAUGUUUAGCAUGUAAAGCUUUGCCCGCGGAGAGCUACUUUACACUGACAAUGCAUACGGAGUCAACAAAGGAAGGGCAUGCAGGGUGGUAGGAGAGAGAAAUACUGUACCAAUUGGCAAGGGGCAUCCAGCCCGUCCAAGCCAGGCUGGCCUGGCUCCCCUUUUUCCCCCUUAACGCCACGGAAUCCCUGUUUGUAAAGAUUAACUCAUAAUGUUACUAAUGCAAGAAUUCACGUAGGUACAAGUUCUGCUAAAGAAACAACAAGCACAAUGAAGGCUGGGAGAAGAGCAGCUCAGAAGGGAAGAGGCCUUGAGUGACACGGGGUCUAAGUAACAGCCAGGCCCAGUCUCCGAAGAAGGGCCGGUCUGGCAGCCAUGGGCUUUGCUCUUGGAGGGUGGGGAGCCACUGGCUCCUCUGAGGUAGACCAGUCAGGCUCCAAGGACUCGGAAGCACUGGGAGUUAAAGCACGCUCAGCUGGUGCUGAGACACUGUCGGCCCAGGGGGAUAACCAGAGCCAGGGGCUUCUGAGCACCUCCGGGUCCAUGGCGGCUGCCCCCACAGGAAACCCUGCUGUCGCUGUCCCCCGGCUGCUCUUCUCCCGCCUCAUCCCUGACACGCGACAUCCAGAGACAGUACCACGAGUCAGACAUACCAACGGGCAGGGCGCAUCCAAGCCAGGGGCACCCUGUUCUCCUUUCUCCCCUUUGGGCCCCUUUUUGCCUUUCUUUCCCUUUUCCCCCUGUGGAUGGAUACAAGGGUUUAAUAAAGGGUUUAUUUGGGUGGGAGGAGGGUGGUGAUUCAGGAGCUGGGUGAGCUAAAAUAAGUCUGAAAGGGCAUUUACCACUGUUUUUUUGGAGAAGGCAUGGUAUUGAGCAACAGUGGAUUCCUGGCAGCAGGAUGUGGGAUUUUUGAGACUUUUAGCCAAAAGCAGAUGACUUAAAAAAGGCUGACACAUCACAAAGGCAGACCAAUGGCCCUGCACAAUUGUCGCCAUCACUGAAUCGUGGGUUUGUGCUAUGGGUCUGGCGAGGUUGAUGAGAACCGACGGUAUCAGAACUAGCCAGUGGUGAGAGGGGUUCAGAGGAAUAAGAGACACUUCACCCAAUUUUCAACGUCUGUCACCUUGGUUUUUAAAAAAAUUCUGUAACAGAUGCAAAUUAUAUUGAACCAAAGGAAAAGGAAAGCAUAUUACCAACUUUUCUUUGAAAUGUAUCCAGUCAUAUUACUUUUUGUACCUCUCAUUAAAACUUCAAAGUAUUAAAUAUGCUUUUAACAUUUUUAAAAAUUGAAAGCAAAUAUUUCCCUUAUUAAGUCAGGUAAACAAAUGCUGGAAGUGUGAAUACUUUGCAGCAAUGCCAGUUGGAGAAGGAGACAUUUAUAAACCUUCAGGUCCUCAGUUUACUCCCUCAUUGAUCUCAUGCCUCAAGUUUACAAUGGUAAAUGAGCUUCCAGAUUAUACACAGUGUAAGAAGAGCCAAAAAGAAAAAAAAAAUCUGUUCAAGAGGAAAAGCAGUUUGGACUCAGUAAAAAUGAGGUGGGCGGGAUAAUUACAUGGUAGGAAUGGAGCCAUAGAAUUAGUAUUUCGGAAUCCAGGUGAAGGCUGUGGGAAGUCUGCGUGGGAUCACAGGGGUUGAGGAAUUGAGGAAAGGAGGCAGAAGGAGGAGAAGGAAGGAAUGCACCUCAGCUGUUUCACAUUAACAUAAAAUCUCUGCAUAUUUAUAGGCAGGAAGGGGGGCCAUGCAGAAUACAAAACACGAGAUACAUAUUCAAAUUAGUGUAUUCACUCUGCAAUCAGCAUAGCAGCUACAAUAAAACUGAAUAAUCUCUGAAGCAAAACAACAUGAAUAUUCACAGGCAAAGAGACAUGCAGCACAGAAACAUAGGAGAUAUGAAUUCAGAUUAAUACAUUCAUUCUGACAGCCUGAGCAAAAGCUCCCUGUUUAUCUCCUGUGUGCCAGAAAGAUUGCCUCAGAAGGCUGGAAUCAAAAACACCUGGGUUUCAUGAAUCCUGGAGAAAUGGAGAUUCUGGGGUGGUUUAGUGGAUCACAACUGAAGACAAAGACAUGAAAGUCGCGGUGAAAGGAGAACAGGGAUGAUAGGAAGAUGGGAGGACCAUCAGGAAGUUGAGCCUUCCUUAGCCAGUCCCUUCAGGUCAGGACCGACUGCCUCAGCCUCCUUGGGUGAGCGCUCUCCUCCCCGAGAGUGGUGGACUCCUGCAGUAGGUGUGACGGAGAGCGGGUGUGUUGAGUGCUACUAAUCUAGACUUCACCUUGCUGUGGGAUUGGUGAAUCGACCAGAUUCACAUUGGACAGGACAGAGCUCUCACAGAAAUGCUACUGUGCUAAGCUGUAAAAGUUGUUUUUCCUUAUUUUAGUGGAGUUUUAUGGAAGAGACACCAGAAAGAAGAAUGUAUCAAGGUUGUUAUUAAUCAUUGCUUUGUAAUACUUAAGUGAUUACACAGAGCAACACAAUUCUGGGUAUGAGCACAUAAAAGCUCUUGGUAUUGGCAUUUUUUGGGUUUUUUUGGUACUGGGGAUCGAACUCAGGACCUUGAGCUUACAAGGCAGGCAGCAGAACCACUGAGCUAAAUCCCCGGACCUGUGCUCCUCUUUUUGACACAUUUCAUUUGGUUUUGCUUUCUGACAGCUAUGAGCUUCACUGUUCAAGAGAACUCACCAAGUUUUUUUUUUUUUUUUUUGGUAUCGGGGAUCGAACUCGGGUCCUUGCACUUGUGCAGCAGGCGGUGAAACCACUGAGCUAAAUCCCCGAGCCCAGAAUGCACCAAGUUUUUUUGUGUGUGUGUUUUUUUGGUACCAGGGCUCGAACUCAGGUCCUUGUGCUUGCACAGCAGGCGGUGAAACCACUGAGCUAAAUCCCCGGCUCGGCACCAAGUUUUAAAAACAAUGUGGUGUUACAUAGUACAGGAGGUGAAUUAAUUUGAGAAGUGCAGUGUUUUAAAUUGGAAUUGUGAGGGCACAAUUUCAGCUACUUGAGGAUUUUUGAUAUUCUACUGUAGUGUUGAAUUUUCAUUGGCUUCUUUUGCUUUGUCAAAUAUAAAAUAUUCUGCAAUCAGUUGGGUCACUUCCAAGCAAAGUACACAGAAAAAGCAAAGAGGAAUGGAAAAUUGAUUUUUUAAAAUCCACAAUCAAACACUGAGUCAUGAAACCCCAGUUGGGACUGGGCGCUGUAUGCUGAGAGCUCGGGACCCCGAGAUGGAAGCCAGCAUCUUCCUGAUAAAAACCUACAGCUCCCUCCCCCUGAGUCUGUUGGAGGCAGUCCUCGACCUGGGGCAGUGGACUUAUCUGUCACACCGCUUGUCCUACAUUUUUGAGUAAAAUAAUCCAGAAAUACAACAUCUCUCCUGGGUAUGUUGUUAGGAUGAAUGAGAUGCUUGCUUUCCAGGGUUAGAUGAUCUCCACCCUAAUGCCACUGCAGGUUAGGGUGAAGUAAUAAAUUUUCAAAACCCCCAGACAUUACAUUUUUCAAAGGCUUGGUGUCGGGGAAUGAAAGAUUGCAGUGUGGCUAACUGGGGAUCGGAACUUCCUGUGCUACACUGUGCCCUUAUUUCUAGCGGUGCAGCUUUUGUUGUUUCUCUUUGAAGACCCGAUUCUUUAGGCGGAGAUCUGUGUAUUUUUGGAGCACAGCAUGGAGACAGACAAGGUAUCUGAUGGGUCACACAGUUUGGGCAGCAAAGCAGACAGUGCAGGCAGAAUCACACGAGAUGUGCACGAGGAGGGAGAUGUCACCUUCUCUCCCUUUUCUCCUAGGUCGCCUUUUCUCGCCUCGAGGACCAGGAAGCCCUGAGGGUAAAAAAAGCAAAGCCAAGAGAGCUAUUGGUGUAACUGGCAAAAUCACAUUGUGGAGAAAAGAAACCAUCUUAGAAUUUCACUGAUUUAAACUCAAACAUAAAACAUGAAGAAUUAAGUAAAAUAGCCGUGGAAGUGAGUUUUCUAUCCUCUCCAUUACAUGUAUGCAGCAGAGUUUUCCCCUUUGCUCCUAAGAAAUGCAGAGUGGCAAGAAAAUCCUGGCAAGUUCACUGGUUUGCGUGGGGUUUUACCUCUGUGCUUUAGUUUUGCAAGUGUAAAGUGGGCUAAUGCGUAUCUACCACAUAGCUGUGUGAGUGUCAAAGGAGAUGGCCCAACAUAAAGAGCAACGUAAAAGAUAGGAAGGGAUCUUUCUCAAACGAGGGGGUCGAGAGAUGGAAGGAGGGGAGGGCAUGAGAAAAGGAAUUAAGAUGUGCCCUGUACCUGCACCAACCCCAGGAAGGAAAUCAUCACGUGCUGUGAGAAUGUGCUAAAAAAUACAAAGUGAAGUGCACGAUAAAGUGCCAGGUCCAUGCUUGCCCUAAUAGGUGCUCAGUAAGCAAUAAUGAACACAACUCUUCCACCUUUGUCAUUACCCACAUAGUACACAAUUGGUUUUGAGGGGCAUUUAUUUUUGACAUUACCUAUGUUAGCACGAGAAAAUGUAUAUAGGGACUUAAGAGGAAAAAGUAUUGUGUAACAGUCUUGAGAUAAAUUUAGUAUCUGUUCCUUCAGGCUAGCAUGGGAGAGGUAUGUUGAUCUUAUGCAUAUUUUUUCCACAAGUGGAUUAUGCUGAUGUUGCAUAUCCUAAAUUUGGGGAAGUAUUUUGAAUUGCCAGUAUCCACUGUCAGUUGUCAAUUUUAUACUAAAUGGUAGUAUUUGUCUUUGUGUUUAUCUCAUGCAAGCGCAACUGUAUUUUAUGUUGCCAUCUCCAUGCACAGCAGUAUACGCUCUGUGCAUGGCUACAUGCACAGAAAAACAAGUAUUCCUGCUGUUCGGGGUAGAGACUACCAGAACCUGUUACGAUAGGAAGAUGUUUAUUGUACUCAUUACUUACAUCAAGACCAGGCUCUCCAUCUUUCCCCUGCCAAAGAACCAUAGUAGCUACAUUAGUGUUCCUGAGUUUUAGGAAUGGGGUAUGAUUUCACUUGAGGCUGCUGGCCAUGCAACACUGGGAUUAAAACAACUACUUCAGGAAUGUGAAAAGUAUUCUCUAUCGAUUAGUAACACAAGGGGCUGCAGGUAAGAGUCAUGAAAAUUUUUAUGUCAUACAUUGGUUCAGUAGAGUGGCAAUGGGCUGGAGUGUAACACUUUCUAGUCACGUGAUCAGUUCAAGCAUGAAGUCAUAGGCAGAAACACUGUUUAGUUGAUGUAAAGACGCACCAGCACUGAGAGGAUGUGAACCAGUGCUACUUUAAUAGCUUAGUGGUUAGUUCAUAAAUGUGAAAACUGUUAAUAUUUUAAUUUGACUAGAUGUGCCCCUUCCGUAUAAAUAUGACAGGUGUGAAGGUCCUAACCACUUUUCAGUAAACUUUGUAAAUGUUCGCCAGCCGUGGAUCCCCUCAAAGUCCCCAAGCAGCUGCUCUGAUUCUACCUGAUCUUGACACCUACCUCAAAAUCAGCAUCUGAAGUAACCAUGGCUUAGGGUUAUUAGUUCAGCUCACCUUAAGUAUGUGAAAGGUAAGGGAGGUUAGAAACCUCCCUACAGCACACGUUUCCUUGGGUCCUACCUGCCCUGCUAAAUCAGUCAUCACUGAAGCCAAGGUCUUGUUCCUGAAGUAAACUUGACACCUACCUCAAUUUGGGAAUUGUCAGGUGAUAAAACACUAUCAAUAGUCUAUGGUUUUUUGUUUUGUUUUUGUUUUUGGUACUGGGGAUCAAACUUGAGACCUUGCACUUGCGAGGCAGGAGGCAGAACCACUGAGCUAAAUCCCCACGUUAAAAUCCCCAAACAUGGCAAUAUUCCAUGUUUUGAAGAUCAUUGUCCUCAGAAACACGAAGGCAUGGUAAAUGUAAAUACCCAUUUCACAUGGAGGAUCGUUUUUAGCAGCAAGAGUAGUUUUUCAUAAAUCACCCAUGGGAGCAAAUAAAGCAUGACAAAGGUCACGGACAACACAACCUCCACUCCCACGGGUGGAUACAGUGGGCUCUCCAGGAGGGGCUCAGGGCGGGCACUGACUGACUGCAGGAAGCCUGCUUUCUGGGUGAAGUGGUGUUUGUCCUGCAGCUGGCUCGGGUCCUCAGUCUCGGGAGGUGAUGGGGUGUGCUCAUGGGAGAGGUGGCACACUGAGGGGACCUGGGGUGAGAAGCGCGGGAUUAACUACACUGUGGAGAAUGAGUGGGUCAUCCUCGCCUCUCCAGUGUGAUUAGUCAGGCCCACGAGGGAGGGGUUAACCAUGUCAGUGGCAGGACAGAGGCAUGCUGAAGGCUGUGACCCUUCAGGGACAGGAAACUCACAGGCAGGCCGUAGGGCCCUCUGGGUCCUGGCUCUCCCACAGCUCCUUUUUCUCCCUAAAAUGAAAAGUGGAAAGUCUAAUUCAUACAUGUGCAUCUGUGAAGAAUGGUAAAAAAUAUGGUGAAUGUUUAUAUUUAAAGGUAUUACAGUAAGGACACAUUGCUGUGAAUCCUUCUCAAAAUAUCCUCCCUUGCUUCAAGCACACUUAUCCUAACCUCAUUCUUGCCACUUUCUGCAGCAGCUCUGGAGUCCUCUUCUCUGAAUGUCUCUGGUUGUACUGUCCUGGUUGCCUGGAUAUCUUGAAUUGAUCCACAACAUUGACCUCUCAAGGUCAGAUUGACUUUAGGGAAGAGCCAGGAGUUGCAGGGCAGCAGAUCCAGUGAUGGGGGUGGAUAGGACACACUGUAGUUUUUAUGAACCCUCCUUUCCACUGGAUGGCAGCGGCAGCAGCAUUCAGAGGAUUUUGAUCACAUCUCAUAAUUUCAGUGGGACUUGGCCUGUUAUUUAUGAUUUUUAAAACAGCAGGGAAACCGGGCUUAAAGGCGAGGUCAAGAGCCCGGAGAAGGCUUAGUUGGAAAUAACCCUACAGAUGACGGUGGGUCUGGUUUGGAAAAUCUCCACUGAUUACCUCGAUAUCACCACUCCCUUCCCCUCCUCCAGAGAACUUUGUCUUUAUUUUGUUCUUAAAUAUGCUGUGGUUUCUCUGAAUAAAUGAGUCACUAAAACGUUACUCUGUGAAACCCCUCCUGGGGAUUAGCCCACCCCCGCCAUGACUCAGCUUCAAGGCCACCCUGCUUCUCUGGCCAUGCCCGGCGCUCCGGGGAAGGUGUUCUUCCGCCCGGAAAGGAGGCCUGGGGAGUCUACCUCUGGCCCUCUCCCGAGGGGUGCUCAGAGCUUGCCUAGUCGGAACACAAAGCUAGAGCCGCCCUCUGACUAUUUUGUUAUAUGAAACAACAGAUUUCUUCAUCAUUUAAACCAUUUUGAGUUUAGGUUCCGCCUCUGCUAAAGCAAAUGGCACCAUCGCGAUUCCAGCUGGAAUAUGCUUGGGAAGGAAGCAGUGACACAAGUGUGUGAAUGUGUGACUUCCUGUCCUGGGUGAGGAAUGCUGAAGGACUUUGAGCCUCUCCACCUUAAUGCACUGCAGAGUUCGAAGCAGGUGCGAGGGCACAGGACUGGCUUCCAAGGACGGAAGAGGCUUCGGGUGCUCAGACCUGACAACGAGGGGCUGUCACUCACAUUUGGGAAUGGCGGAUCGGGCUGGGAUGCCUCCUUCCUCUUCGGCUGGGCUCAUUUCCUGCAGUGCUUUCUUUGCUGCCCUGGGAAAUCGUUCUGGGAUGCCUCCUUUUGCUGAUUUCUGUCUCUUUCAAAUCUCAAACUUCAAGAGUCUCCCAGCUGGCACCACGUUUAACUCUGAGAGUCACUCUCUAGUUUGGCACUUUGGGUGAGGGGCACUUGGCCAGGACUGACACACGACACCCGGAACACUUCACACUCACGCCAUGUGCCUGCAACUGCGCCUUCAGAAAUUCUCAGCGACUUCAUUUGCUUUUGGGGCUAAUCCUGCCCGGCACGGAGACCUGAUACUCUUGUGACACCGAGGAGCAAUCGGAAGUAGCAGCUGAUUUACCCAACGGUGAUGGGGAAAUUGAUGACACAACUCUAUUCAGAUACGCAAAAUGCUUCCAUGGUUUUCAAGGAGAGGAAAACAAAGCCUGGGAGACAGGAAGACAGCUGCUGAUGCCGCAUGUCCCUCUGUGUCGGACAUUUAGCUCAUCCGCAGCAUCUUUUUCCUUUUUCUCUCCUAAGGACGUGGACACGUGUCCUAGCCAUAGAGAGGAACACCUUACAGACGAGCAUGGCCUUCCAGACUGCCUGCCCUGCCCUGCCCUGCUCUCGCCCGUCGAGAGUACUGAAGCACCCUGCCUUCUACCUUCUAGCCUGGGCGCACCCGUCCUCAGUCCGAUGCCGGGAAGGAUGCCGGUUCGAUGGCCACCUUCCUCCCUGGACCUAAGUCCUCUGAGGUCAAGCUGUCUCCACCAGUCACUGCAGGACACCUGUGGCCACAUGAGGCCCGGCUCAGGAAGUCUCCCAGGUACCCAACCAAGAAAGGACAAGAGCCUUACCCUGUGGAAAUGUACUUCAACUUUUCCCACACUAUUUACCGGACACUUCAUUAGAGGCUCUCAAGCCUCAGAGAGGACUAGAAGCAUUCUGUAGAGGGUUGUCAUUAUCUUACUUUGCUGCUAAGAGACUGGAGCAAUGACUGGUUAAAACAAUUUGCCAGUGUCCACGCUGUGAGGUGGGAGUACAGCUUGGCGCACUGUCUCUCCUCCUGUCCUGUCACUGUCUCCCACAUGUGUGUUCUGGAAGUGCGCAGCACUGACAAGUCUGCAUCUCGGAGCACCUCUGAGUUUCUCCCCAUCCCCCGGAGAGUACUGCAGCGUCCACGCUGGCUCUUCCCAGGAUGUGUUCCUGCUUUGUCCACAGCAUGCUCAUAAAUAAACAAGUACCUUCGGGAGGGAUGGGAAACUUACCAUGGGGCCAGGAGGACCGUGGGGGCCUGGGGGGCCCGGUGGGCCUAUGAUCUGCGUAUCCAAAAAACAAACAUGGAUUUGGUUACUCCAUUUAGAUAAGGCAGGUCAGCCUGGGUCUUGUGCUCGGCUCUGCUAAGGCCAUUAACAGCCACCGCGAAAGAAAGACUGCAGGAAGUGAUGUUUGGUUUUCUGGGUUUAGAAAUUCCUUCAUGAGAGUCCAAUAGCUUAAAAAACACAGUUGUACGAAUGCCCAAAUGUAUUAAACAUACAUUAAAGGGAAAGAAGCAACUGACUACCAAGAAUGGCUAUAAUGCCACAACCACUGUGAAACUCCAAUAUUUCGCCAUGUGCCGACAGGGAGUCUGGAGAAAAGAAAGAAUAUAAGCUCUACUUUUCACAAAACUCUACCCAUAAGUGCUGUGGGAAAACUGCUGACAUUGUUUUCUUCUUGGAAUUCAACAGCCCUUUGGAAAACUGCUUCUGACCCGGGCAGCUGACACGCGGUGUCUCUCAACACGCGGUGUCUCUCACUGGGCAAGGGGACGGGCUGUCUUGGUGCUCACUCUGCCUGCUGCUGGCGCGCUAUGCCAUGGCUGGCCUGGGGAACUGCAACUCUGCCCGCGCGUUCCGGGAGCCGGGGUGUUCGGCCUGGGCACUUACGGAAGGACCUUGAGGGCCUGGCAGUCCGGAGUCUCCCUUUUCUCCUUUCAUCCCAUUGGCACCCUGCGAAUAACAAGCAGGAGGGCGGCAGGUCGGCAAAGGCAGCUCCAGUGUGUAAGGGACACUGAGCGUCCUCCCCAGCCGCACCCUUCUCUUCAGGUUUUAUAUGAUGAUGCACAAGAUGUAUAAAAGGACUUAUCUCCUUGUAUUUUAGCUUAAAAUAGCACUUACUAAAAUAUCCAGGAUUAUGGGUCAUAAAAUAGAUAAAAAGCUAGGCUGGACUUGAUUAAACUUACACAGUAUUAAAUAUAUUGGGUUAUAAAUGUUGUAUCUUUUAUGGUGGAAUUCAUUUCAAAUAGCAAAGUUAAACCCUUUAACUUCGUUUUCAUGGACAUUUAUUUAUUUACUUUCUUUAAAAAAGAUGUAGGGCAGGAAAGUUCACUACAUUUUAAAAAAUAGCUUCUAUAUUUCCCCUGCAAAUUCUCAGUAAAACUUGGGGAGGGGGGAAACCAUAAAAGCACUGUCUGAUAGCAUCAUGCACACAAGGAGAACACCUUAGAGAAUAAUUUGUCUUUAAUUGUUCUCUACAGAUAUCCUUUUUUUGAGAUAGUCUCGCUAUGAAGUUCAGGCUGCCCUUGAACUCACUAUGUAGCCCAGGCCGGCCUUAAAUUGCAGUGAUCCUCCUGCCUCAGCCUCCCAAGUGCUGGGAUUACAGGUGUGUGCCACAUCUGGCUUGUUCCUUAUUUUUUGAUUUAUCGUGAUAAAAUAAGCCAAAAAGAAAUGUUACCACCAUAUUAUGCAUACUAAAUCAAAGUGACCAGUUAUAUUUAUCUUACCAUCUUCUAAUGAAAACAAUUUAGGAAAGCAUGAGGGUUUACUUUCUAAUGCUUUUGCCUAUAUACUUUUCCAUUUUAGUUCCCCAGUUGGAGUAAUUAGCCACUAAUACUUCAAAUAGUUCAAAAUAAAAAUACUCUAGGAACCAUUGAUUGAGGUUCAGUUAAUAAUUCUUUUCUGGUUUUUAGGUUGUCUUAAAAAGAACAUACCCUAAGAAGUAUAAACAUACCGGUAAUCCAGGAAGCCCAAUUCCUCCUUUUUCACCUGGCACCCCUGGGUCCCCUGUGUCUCCCCUUUGAGCCUUUGAGUCCCUAAAAAUGACAAGAUUUGAAUGUAAGAAGUGCAGCGACCGACAGUUACAUUCAGGGAAAAGAGAAUAUAGAUCUGUUUUCUCAACAGGUGAAUUGAAUGCGGAGAUGACUGUGUUCAUGCUUAGGUAGAGCUGUUUCUUAAAAUCUGCACUGAAUCAAUAUUGAUUCCCCACGUAAGGAAGGGAUUUAAAUUCUAUUAAUCCAUUUAAAUAGGAAAAACACGAACGUAGGUUUUGACAUCACUUCUCCUGGUUUCAUGUUUUACUGGCAGCUAAUUCCAACUUAGCAGUCCUGAAAACAGUGUAACGGCUCUAAUUCUAGCAGUACAGUGUACAAUUUGAAUGAGAAUCUAGUGCUAGAACACAGGUCCAAACAGAGUUCUUCCCUACCUGCUUAUUCUAACUACACGCAGACUUCCAGCCAUCAGUUUUCAGUGGUCCAGGCUCCAGACAGGUAAAUCAUCUACACUAAAGCUCAACGAUGCUUAAAAUCACUUCAACUUUUCCACAGCGUUCUUAUUUUUCUAUCUCUGCGAAGCGAGCCGGGCUGUUUUUAUUUUCCUCUUACAGUGAGGAAAUAGACAAAUGUGCAUUUGGAGUGUUAAUUCUGAAUUGCGUAACUUGAGUACUGAAAUUAACUUCUCUGGUAACCACUUUCAUCGUGGGGAUCUCGGUAUGAGCAGCUGGCCUAGCCUUCAGAGAGGCCGCUCAUGCUCAUGUGGCACGGGGCCUGCAGGCAGCACAAGGGACAGGAACACGUAUGUCCCUUGUGAUCCGAGCCUAUCUUGGGAACUAGUUCAGAACCGUGCAGUGGGUGGGUGAGUGGGGUGCUGCCUGAAAAGGUGGAUCCAUCCUCUCGGCUAAUCAGACCCUUGUGAUGGAAACAGGUGACACGCCCAACUCCCAGAAGGGCCCAAAGCUUAUAGAAAGACCCGAUUAUCGUGUAUGUGGGGCUGUGUAGUGAGUACGGCAUUACACGUGUCAGCUUAUUUAUAAUGACAGCAGGAGGGGUCACACAGCCAGAGCUUUAGAUCCUCAUGUGAUCUUGGUGAGAUAGCAAAUCCAUUAUUUUUUAUCAUACAUUCUUUAGUGUGGCACAUGACUUGAUGUACAACUCUGAUAUUAAAAAUAACACUUCUCAUAAACUUCUUGCCUGAUAGUUUCUCCCAAGGAAUGCAUGUUCACUGGCUGGACCAAGAAUCCCCUCGUAGCCAGGUGUGGUGGCCCAGGCCUCUCCUCCCAGCACUGUGAGAGGCUGAGGCAGAGACACCAGGGCAAGCCCAGCCCAGGGAACUGAAUGACUUAGCGAGAUCCUAAGUCAAAGUGAAAACCAGGAAAAGGGCUGGGGAUGCAGCUCUGUGUGGAGAGCUCUGAAUUCAAUUCCCAGUGCCAGAAAAAAGAAAAAAAAUAAAGAACCCCUUUGAUAUCUUAUAAUCUCUGUGAUUUUAGCCAUUGCUGGCAUAAAUAAGGGAAUCUCAGAAAACAUUAAACAUCUUUAAAUACUCCUUUGAUUCUGAAUGUUGUCCACGUCCUCCUAGGAAGAGUCUUAAGAGGCAGAAGGCACCCAAACCACAGCCCUUGUCCCACGACAGCCUAGGCUGUGUCUUGGUUCAGGCAGAAUUUCCAACAAGUGCUAAAGGGAACAUGUGCUGGAGAUACAUGCAGCCUGCAAAGCCCAAGACAUGAACCUCUGCCUAGGGGAGCCCCGAGGUAACAUACUCUGUAGGACUCUAAAUGCCCCACUUGCUCUGUCUUUUCUAAGGAUCUAGGCAAUUAGUUAUGACCUCUACUUGGGAAAGAAAACAUUGUCAGAAAUACACAUUAGCAGUACCUUGUUUUUUAGUAAUUCAUCCCCAACUUCAGUCUGGAGUCACCUGUACUCACUGACAUUCUUACUAAGUUGGUAACGAUGGUGCAGGUUUAUUAAAAUGCAGAGGAGUCACUGGUAGAUUGGUGGGAGAUACUGAGAACAAACCAAAGUACCAUGUGGCUUUGUGUUUCUGCAAAUAAAAACUAAAGUCAAACUUGAGACCAAUUGCUUUGUCGAGUUCAUGUGGCCUCCAGAACAGAUGGCGGAAGAGAGGAUAUCACGUCAAUGUGCAUGGAUGACAUUUUGGCUUCAAACCUAGGAUGAAAGUAGUGAUCAAUAAUGAUAUUUUAAAUAAUGGUAUAUAGGCUUGAAAAUUACCUGCUCUCCAUCAACUCCUGGGUUCCCUGGAGACCCUGCCUCGCCCUGUUAAAAUACAAAAAGGGGAAUGGGGAAAAAGUAAGAACCAGGGGGCCGGGAUUUAGUUCAGAGGUGCCACUGCCUGCCUCGCAAGCGUAAGGUCCUGAGUUCGAUCCCCAGUACCAAAAAAAGAACCAAGAUAUAUCAUGUCCAGGUACAAAUUCCCAAUGAUGAAUGUGAUCAUGAUAUACACCUACAAUGUACCACUAAACUUAAUGAACAAAAAAUAUAAACAAUAGCUCACUUCCAUUUAUUACCGCUAUUAUGAUACGCUGAAGAAAAUGAUGCUAAUGGUUAAAAGUACAAUUUGAGUUUUAACAAAUGCCCAAGAAUACUCUUUUGGGACCUAGCCUCACUAAGUGAGCUGGUGAUCAUCUUCCUUGAUAAGACGUGGAUGUAGCUAAGAUUUAGUGCUUUUAUUUUUUCCUCCAUGUGAGAUGCAGGCUAGAAAAAUGGUCAAAGAAAACUGAUAAAAAUAAUUUCAUGGCUGAUCAUAUCCUAUAAGAACACCUAUUGACUCAAGUUCAUUUUUUUGUACAUCUGAAAUAUGUAUGAUUUUUCUUAUUUUUAGUAAAAACUAAGAAUGAAAUGCAAG
rnacentral:lncRNA from 1 species